AACAGAGGGUGCAAACGUUGUUCGGAAUUACUGGGCGUAAAGCGCGUGUAGGCGGCUUCGCAAGUCGGAUGUGAAAUCCCACGGCUCAACCGUGGAAGUGCAUUCGAAACUGCAAGGCUAGAGUCCUGGAGAGGAAGGUGGAAUGCUUGGUGUAGAGGUGAAAUUCGUAGAUAUUGUGAAGAACACCGAUGGCGAAGGCAGCCAUCUGGACCGACACUGACGCUGAGGCGCGAAAGCGUGGGGAGCGAACCGG
rnacentral:rRNA from 1 species